GACGAACGCUGGCGGCGUGCUUAACACAUGCAAGUCGAACGGAAAGGCCCUGCUUUUGUGGGUUUCUCGUGUGGCGAACGGGUGUGUAUCACGUGUGUAUCCUGCCCUUUUCUUUGUGAUAUCUUCUCGAAACUGGGGCUAUUAUCCCAUAUGAUCUCCUGCUGCUUGGUGUGCGUUGGUUAGUUUCGGCGGUGGUGGAUGUUCUCGAGGCUUAUCCGCUUGUUUGUGGGGUUGUGGCUUACCAAGGCUUUGACGGGUAGCCGGCCUGAGAGGGUGAACGGCCACAAUGGGACUGAGAGACGGACCAGACGGCAACGGGAGGCAGCAGUGGGGAAUAUUGCACAAUGGGCGGAAGCCAGAGGCAGAAACGCCGCGUGCGGGAUGACGGCCUUCGGGUUGUAAACAGAUUUCGAAUGUGACGAAGAGUGAGUGACGGUAAUGGGUAAAGAAGCACCGGCUAACUACGUG
rnacentral:rRNA from 1 species